rnacentral:rRNA from 1 species
UACGAAGGGGGCUAGCGUUGCUCGGAAUCACUGGGCGUAAAGCGCACGUAGGCGGCUUUCUAAGUCAGGGGUGAAAUCCUGGAGCUCAACUCCAGAACUGCCUUUGAUACUGGAGAGCUUGAGUCCGGGAGAGGUGAGUGGAACUCCGAGUGUAGAGGUGAAAUUCGUAGAUAUUCGGAAGAACACCAGUGGCGAAGGCGGCAUCCUGGACCGGCAUUGACGCUGAGGCGCGAAAGCCAGGGGAGCAAACGGG